UCCCUGGUGGUCUAGUGGUUAGGAUGCGGCGCUCUUACCGCCACGGCCCGGGUUUGAUUCCCGAUCAGGGAA